CACAGUCGAGUAGUACUAAUCAUCCGAAGCUUUCAAAGCAAAACACAACGUUGUUUGUUCUUCAAAACUUAACUUCUUUCAAUAAUAUGUCAUUUAAGCUGAUACAGCUUAUCUAAAGAAAUUUAGGUGCCUAUAUCGGUGGUGUCCACCUCUUCCCAUUCCGAACAGAGAAGUUAAGCCCACCAGAGCCGAUGGUACUGCGGUAACACGUGGGAGAGUAGGUCGGUGCCAAAU
rnacentral:rRNA from 1 species